rnacentral:rRNA from 1 species
GUCUACGGCCAUACCACCCUGAACACACCUGAUCUCGUCUGAUCUUGGAAGCUAAACAUGGUCAGGGCUGGUUAGUACUUGGAUGGUGUUAUGGUUUGGGGGUUAUUUUGCAAGGGGAGCAAUAUAAUACAGGACACA